rnacentral:rRNA from 1 species
UACGUUUUUCUAUCCUGUAGAGACCGGUUAGUGGAAUAUUUGCACUUCUCCAACUUUCUCCCGGAUAUUGCACGAAGCACAUGUUAGCUAACGGACCUCGGUGAUUCAAUAAGAGUGAAGAGCUGUAUCUCGUAAUCUUAUUGCGAAACCGAAGCAGACGCGUUGAAAUUAAUACGUGUGUACAGUACUACCCCCCGGGCCUAGGCUGUGAAGUCCAAACUCAAAUAAUAUGAGUGUUCAUAAGAGGAGGGUGGUGUUUCCUCCGUGUAGCGAGAAAAUCCGAGGUGUUAGAAAGUAUCGUCAAUGCAGAACGUCCCCCCCUCACAUAAUACUGACGCCAGGCGAAAAAGUGUGGGGAGAGAACAAGAUUAGAUACCGUGGUAGUCCACGCUGUACACGAUGAGGACUAAAUGCCUCUAGGGGAACCUAGCAGCAUGAAGCUAACGCGAUAAGUCUUCCGCGUGGGAAGUACGGCCGCAAGGUUGAAACUCAAAGGAAUUGACGGGGGCCCGCACAAGCGGUGGAGCAUGUGGUUUAAUUCGAUGCAACGCGAAGAACCUUACCUACCCUUGACAUCCUGCGAAUCCCGAUGAGAGUUGGGAGUGCCGAAAGGAACGCAGAGACAGGUGCUGCAUGGCUGUCGUCAGCUCGUGUUGUGAGAUGUUGGGUUAAGUCCCGUAACGAGCGCAACCCUUGUCCUUAGUUGCCAGCAUUAAGUUGGGGACUCUAAGGAGACUGCCGGUGAGGAACCGGAGGAAGGCGGGGACGACGUCAAGUCAUCAUGGCCUUUAUGGGUAGGGCUACACACGUGCUACAAUGGGGCGUACAGAGGGUCGCCAACCCGCGAGGGGGAGCCAAUCUCUUAAAGCGUCUCGUAGUCCGGAUUGGAGUCUGCAACUCGACUCCAUGAAGUUGGAAUCGCUAGUAAUCGCGAAUCAGCAACGUCGCGGUGAAUACGUUCCCGGGCCUUGUACACACCGCCCGUCACGUCAUGGGAGUGGAUGGUACCAGAAGUGGGUAGUUUAACCGUAAGGGAAACGCCUACCACGGUAUGAUUCAUGACUGGGACGAAGUCGUAACAAGG